GCAGCAUUGAGUAGUAUUGUUGUUGUUCCGCCAAGUGCAUCAUGGUCUUUCUUCCUGUUAAUGUGCGAUGGACGUACAAGGGAUUGGUGCGGAGACUUCGUUGUGUAGAAUAGUAGGUAAAUGCAUGCAUGUCUUGUAAAAUAUUCAUGUACAAGUGUAUAAAAUGUAAUCACCUGCCAAUAUUUUAACUAGACAGUUUGAUUUAGGCACUACUGGAAUUGUAUGCUGGGAUUUUGGGCGCCAAUCGUCGACCAUUGUGUACUAAAUUUCAUGGUAAUUGACGUUGAAAGUACGUUGAGUUGUGCGAUCUCCGGGAAGUUCCACGUGGGUUUGGUGGAACUUGGUGAAGUCCCACUGCCGUAUUUUGUAUUGUGUUUUUUUUAAUUUUAUUUCUCUGCAUUUUAUUUUUAUUUUGCCUCUUCAUUCAUUCCAACAUUUGGGUGUUAGAGACUGUUACAAAAUCCAGCAUUUGAGCUGUUACGGGAACGACCCAGUAGCAUACCACUCUGUAAAUUGAACUGUACAUGUGGUCAGGAAUAAACCUGGAGCUACAGGAACCCCUGAA